GAACGCUGGCGGCAUGCCUUACACAUGCAAGUCGAACGGCAGCACGGGAGCAAUCCUGGUGGCGAGUGGCGAACGGGUGAGUAAUAUAUCGGAACGUGCCCAGUCGUGGGGGAUAACGCAGCGAAAGCUGUGCUAAUACCGCAUACGGUCUCUGGAUGAAAGCGGGGGACCUUUGGGCCUCGCGCGAUUGGAGCGGCCGAUAUCAGAUUAGCUAGUUGGCGGGGUAAAAGCCCACCAAGGCGACGAUCUGUAGCUGGUCUGAGAGGACGACCAGCCACACUGGAACUGAGACACGGUCCAGACUCCUACGGGAGGCAGCAGUGGGGAAUUUUGGACAAUGGGCGAAAGCCUGAUCCAGCAAUCCCGCGUGCAGGAUGAAGGC
rnacentral:rRNA from 1 species